AAAAAGUGAGAACUGCUACUGAAGCUUAUCUACAGUAAAAUUCCGCCUAUGUCCUCGCGCUGAGAAAUUACAAUUCUGCCCUUAUACCGCUUUCUAACCCUCUUUUUCUCACCUCUGCGCGGUUCCUAUUAGCAUUUUACCCUGCCAUUUCAUCCACUCCACAUCUCCAAUUCUCAUAGCUUGCAUGAACCGGAAGCUCUUAUUGUGUACAUUUCUGUGCUGGAACAACAAGGCAAGUAUGGCGAUGCUUUAGAGAUGCUAUCAGGAAAAUUAGCAUCUGAUCGAUGUUGACAGGAUUUGCUUGCAGGUAUUUUCUGAAGCUUUUUUCUUGUGCUUUGUUAUUUUGUUUAUUGACUAUGGUGCUUGAGUGAAUUAAUUUCCUCAUAUUGUUAUCAUAAGCUUUGUGAAAUGCUUGAAACUGUUCCCAUUUAGUUGUUUUAGUAAGAGUGUUCCUGCCGCCCUGCAAACACCCCUUUACGUAUAAUGGAGACCAAACUAUGAAUUGCAAAGUUUUCUGUGGUAAAUACUUGUGUCUGGUGAUUAGCAUGCAUAAUAAUUCUUCUUAGGUUGAAUAAUUGUUAACAUAGACAUUGAAGCUCUUUUGAUUUUCUUGCAUUCGAUUUCCUAUUUGUUCUGUUUUACUUAAGCUUCCAGGGUAGACUUCUUGCUCAGUCAGGUGGCAAUGCUGUCGCAGCCAGUACAUUUCAGAAAAUUCUACAAAUGUGGUAUGCAUUUGGACUUUGUUGUAGUUAUUAUUACAUUGUCAUUGCUUAGUAGAAUGCGAGUUAAGCUAACUAGAGUUGUCUCAUGUGCUGACUGUCACCUCUCUUUUUUUAUAGCUUUUGUAUAGGAUUUUAAGCUGCUUAGAGCUGAGGUCCCAAGGGCUGAGGCUUGGACCUUUUUAAUUUUUGAUUUUAUAGAUAUAUAUAUUUAUACUUUGUAUUUUUUUUACUAAUGCUUUAGCUUAAAAUUGUGCUAUUAUGUGGUCCUUUUGCCUUGGGACAUUUAUUUCAUCCGAUAAAGUUGUUUUGGUCUGGAAUUUCUUAGUAACUAUUUUGCAGUUUUUGGUUUUUAACAUCUCUUUUUCAAAGUUUAACGGUUUAACCUCAUUGCUCUUUUUGACCUGGGAGUCCCGAUGACUUGGAGUGUUGGCUUCAUUAUUUAGGUUGUUUGCUGGAGGAUGAUCAAAGUUGCUGCAAUAAGAUUUGCGAAAAAUGAGAUUGCUUUUGUUUAUGUUUAUGUAUUCAAUUAGACUGAAAUUAUGUUAAUGGAUACUGUUAGAUUUCUGGUUUGAGUGGGAAAAAAAAAAUUGAAUUUAGUUUGUAAUUAGAUUAGAUCCAAAAAUGGUCUUUGUAGUUUUUACUCGGAUAGUUGAAUCUGAUUUCCUUUUGAUGUCUUUAUUUUCCAUGUGAGUAUUAGUGAAAUUUGGGGAAACAAUUACUCAUACUUUAUUGACCAUUAACUAAAAUUAGUUUUACCUUGAAUUGAGAAUUGAAAUGUAUUCUUUUGCUUUUGCAAUUUCAGUGAAGUCGAUGAGGAGAGAGAAGCUAUGGAAGCAAGAGAAGGAAGAAGAUGAGGAAAAUAGUGCAUUGUCAGAUUUAAGUUAUUUGCUAAUGUGGGAUAUUGUAAGAAAUUUGGGUAGCAUACAAUUGGUCCUCAUUACCAAGCCAUUUUCCCAUUAGAUAAUGUUGCUGAUUGAUUUUAGUCUUGUCAAUAAUGUGUUCUCCAUUCAACUCCAUUCAAAUCAAAGCCUCCAAGGAAAAUAUACAUUCUUGUUUUCUUGCCUCUCUUCUGCUCAAAAGUCCAAAACCUUCGUCUUCAUCAGCUUUAAAGGGACUGCUGGUUGAGAAAAGUGCGAAAAUCUAGAAGUUGGAGAGGGAAAAGGGAGAGAUUAAGUGGCAAAGAGACCUUGCACAGUCUCAACUUGAACUAGAAAGAAGUGCACACAAGGUAAAGAAGGGGCUAAUUGAAGAUGUAUAUGUUGCUAUAUGAUAGAGCAGGCUAUGUGAAAUUGCCUCAAGUAUAUACUUCACAGGCAAGUAGUAUGCUUUGCUAAGAAUUGCGCUCUGCUUUCGGAAACCAAAUUACAAUUCUGAUCCUCGAAUAGUUAUAUUAGAGGCAAAGAAUGUAAUUACCUAGUUAUGUGAUUUGAGGCUUUGUUCUUUUCAUUUGAAUGAUAAUCAAUUUAAACUUAAUUUAGUUGUGAAAUUGAACUUCCCUAGCUCUUGCGUGGAAUUAGUGUUCCUGUAAAAGUAAAAAGAACAAAAAGACUAAGUCUAAAGCCAGCUGAAAAUGGAAUCUUGCUUUAGGUUGUCAGCCUUGAUUGGAAGUUGGAACUGAU